rnacentral:rRNA from 1 species
AGCGAACGCUGGCGGCAGGCCUAACACAUGCAAGUCGAACGAACCUUUCGGGGUUAGUGGCGGACGGGUGAGUAACACGUGGGAACGUGCCUUUAGGUUCGGAAUAACUCAGGGAAACUUGUGCUAAUACCGAAUGUGCCCUUCGGGGGAAAGAUUUAUCGCCUUUAGAGCGGCCCGCGUCUGAUUAGCUAGUUGGUUGAGGUAAUGGCUCACCAAGGCGACGAUCAGUAGCUGGUCUGAGAGGAUGAUCAGCCUCAUUGGGACUGAGACACGGCCCAAACUCCUACGGGAGGCAGCAGUGGGGAAUCUUGCGCAAUGGGCGAAAGCCUGACGCAGCCAUGCCGCGUGAAUGAUGAAGGUCUUAGGAUUGUAAAAUUCUUUCACCGGGGACGAUAAUGACGGUACCCGGAGAAGAGGCCCCGGCUAACUUCGU